GGCCUGAUGGUCUAGUAGUAUGAUUCCUUGUUAGGGUUUCACCAUUAUCGAGGAGGUCCCGGGUUCAAUUCCCGGUCAGGCCC